rnacentral:rRNA from 1 species
UAGCGGCGGACGGGUGAGUAACGCGUGGGCAACCUGCCUCACACUGGGGGAUAAUACAGGGAAACUUGUGCUAAUACCGCAUAAGCGCACAGAAGGACAUCCUUUUAUGAUCAAAGGAGUAAUCCGGUGAUAGAUGGACCCGCGUCUGAUUAGCUAGUAGGUGAGGUAAUGGACCACCAAGGCGACGAUUGGUAGCCGAACUGAGAAGUUGAUCGGCCACAUUGGGACUGAGACACGGCCCAAACUCCUACGGGAGGCAGCAGUGGGGAAUAUUGCACAAUGGGGGAAACCCUGACAGAGCAACGCCGCGUGAAGGAUGAAGGAUCUUGGUCUGUAAACUUCUUUAAUCAGGGACGAUGGUCUGACGGUACCAUUAAAGGAAGCCACGGCUAACUACGUGCCAGCAGCCGCGGUAAUACGUAGGUGGCAAACGUUAUCCGGAAUUAUUGGGCGUAAAGCGCGCGUAGGCGGUUUGCUAAGUCAAAAGUGAAAACUCCAGGCUCAACUUGGAGACUGCUUCUGAAACUGGUAGACUUGAGUGCAAGAGAGGGAAGUGGAAUUCCUAGUGUAGCGGUGAAAUGCGUAGAUAUUAGGAGGAACACCAGUGGCGAAGGCGACUUCCUGGCUUGUAACUGACACUGAGGCGCGAAAGCGUGGGGAUCAAACAGGAUUAGAUACCCUGGUAGUCCACGCCGUAAACGAUGAGUGCUAGGUGUCGGGGGUAUCGACCCCCUCGGUGCCACAGCUAACGCAAUAAGCACUCCGCCUGGGGAGUACGGUCGCAAGAUUAAAACUCAAAGGAAUUGACGGGGGCCCGCACAAGCAGCGGAGCAUGUGGUUUAAUUCGACGCAACGCGAAGAACCUUACCAAGGCUUGACAUGCAGAUGAAUAAGCAAGAGAUUGCUUAGUCCUUCGGGACACCUGUGCAGGUGGUGCAUGGUUGUCGUCAGCUCGUGUCGUGAGAUGUUGGGUUAAGUCCCGCAACGAGCGCAACCCCUGUUGUUAGUUGCCAUCAUUUAGUUGGGCACUCUAGCGAGACUGCCGGUGACAAAUCGGAGGAAGGUGGGGACGACGUCAAAUCAUCAUGCCCCUUAUGUCCUGGGCUACACACGUACUACAAUGGCUAUAACAGCAGGGAGCUAAGGAGCAAUCCGGAGCGAAUCCUCAAAAAUAGUCCCAGUUCAGAUUGUGGGCUGCAACCCGCCCACAUGAAGUCGGAAUCGCUAGUAAUCGCAGGUCAGCAUGCCGCGGUGAAUACGUUCCCGGGCCUUGUACACACCGCCCGUCACACCACGAAAGUCGGCAACACCCGAAGCCGGUAGUUUAAC